CGAGGAGCUUCGCGCAGGCUCAGAAUCGCUCAGCUGGUUGACGUUAUCCAGGAGAAUCGCGUUGGACUCAGGGAAGACCUGCACAGGAUCCGGUUGUUGCUGGGAGGCAGAGGUUGCGGUGAGCUGAGAUCACACCAUUGCACUCCAGCCUGGGCAACAAGAGUGAGACUCCAUCUCAAAAAUAAAAAAGAUGGAAGCAUGUAUUUGUAUUUUGAGCAUCAAUAACUAGCACACAGCAAGAAGGAGGCCAUCAGCAAACUGGGAAGAGGACCCUCACCAGGAACCACAUCUGCCAGCACCUUGAUCUUGAACUUCUCAGCCUCCAGAACGGUAAAUCAGACACCGCCUAUUCACCAGCUCAUCUAUAAAACCCCCUGCAUUUCACCGCAGAACUGGAACCUAUUUUACCAGGACCCCUCUCUGCAGCAGAGAGCUCUUCUCUUUCUUUCGCCUAUUAAACUUCCACUCUUAACCUCAUUAUUUGUGUGUCCUUGUUCUUGUUCUCCAUGGCCGUGGGACAACGAACCUUGAGUGUUACUCCAGAAAAC
rnacentral:lncRNA from 1 species